GCGGCAGUAGUCUAGCCUGGUUAGGACUCAGGCUUGCCGAGCCUGAAGCGCGGGUUCAAAUCCCGCCUGCCGCA
rnacentral:tRNA from 1 species